UUCCUUGAUGGUUAGAAUGAUGGAAUCACCUAGUCAGGCUCCGCCUGACUAGGAAUCACCAGCGUAUGGAGAACCGUGACAUUGUUAUAGGAAGGAAGAAUGGGCAGCAUUUUAAGUUGGAAGUGUCUACCUGUACGUGGGCCCCGUCAAUUUUGAUUCUUCAUAAAUCAAUCAUAGAAUCAGACUAAUACCUAGCCCUUGGUAAUCAGGUUGGUAAGAUAUACAUAUGGGACACCACACAGAAUGAUGUCAUCAAGGGACGUCCAUCAGUGAUACUCUCUUCAGCUAAAUGCUUCACUGCAGUGAGACAAGUCACCUUCAGCAACGACAGCAAGACUAUCAUUGGUGUGUGUGAUAAUGGAACUGUAUGGAGGUGGGAUGCUAAAUCAUAAUAAAGAACCAAUAACACACUCACACACAAACUUAUUGUAAUACACUGUACAUCAGUAUACUGUGUAUACAGCAUUAUUUUUCUAACAAACAAUGAUACAUUUUAAUUAUCAUUCACUGAUGCUAAAAGUAAUAGUGUCAUGACUUGAACUGAAAUUGAAAAAUAAAAAGUUAUUUUGGUUUCUUGUGUACUU